rnacentral:rRNA from 1 species
GAUGAACGCUGGCGGCGUGCCUAACACAUGCAAGUCGAGCGAUUCUCUUCGGAGAAGAGCGGCGGACGGGUGAGUAACGCGUGGGUAACCUGCCCUGUACACACGGAUAACAUACCGAAAGGUAUGCUAAUACGAGAUAAUAUGCUUUUAUCGCAUGGUAGAAGUAUCAAAGCUCCGGCGGUACAGGAUGGACCCGCGUCUGAUUAGCUAGUUGGUAAGGUAACGGCUUACCAAGGCGACGAUCAGUAGCCGACCUGAGAGGGUGAUCGGCCACAUUGGAACUGAGACACGGUCCAAACUCCUACGGGAGGCAGCAGUGGGGAAUAUUGCACAAUGGGCGAAAGCCUGAUGCAGCAACGCCGCGUGAGCGAUGAAGGCC